rnacentral:rRNA from 1 species
CCUACGGGAUGCAGCAGUGAGGAAUAUUGGUCAAUGGGCUUACGCCUGAACCAGCCAAGUCGCGUGAGGGAAGACUGCCCUAUGGGUUGUAAACCUCUUUUGUCCGGGAGCAACGCCGGCUACGUGUAGCCGGACUGAGAGUACCUGAAUAACAAGCAUCGUCUCACUCCGUGCCAGCAGCCGCGGUCAUACGGAGGAUGCGAGCGUUAUCCGGAUUUAUUUGGUUUAAAGGGUGCGUAGGCGGAAUGCCAAGUCCGCGGUAAAAUCGCGGGGCUCAACCUCGCUCCGCCGUUGAAACUGGCGUUCUUGAGUGGGCGAGAAGUAUGCGGAAGGCGUGGUGUAGCGGUGAAAUGCAUAGAUAUCACGCAGAAAUCCGAGUGCGAAGGCAGCAGACCGGCGCCCAACUGACGCUGAAGCACGAAAGCGUGGGUAUCGAACAGGAUUAGAUACCCCAGUAGUC